rnacentral:rRNA from 1 species
AUUAAACGCUGGCGGCAUGCCUUACACAUGCAAGUCGAACGGCAGCACGGGGGCAACCCUGGUGGCGAGUGGCGAACGGGUGAGUAAAGCAUCGGAACGUGCCCUGGAGUGGGGGAUAACGUAGCGAAAGUUACGCUAAUACCGCAUAUUCUGUGAGCAGGAAAGCAGGGGAUCGCAAGACCUUGCGCUUUGGGAGCGGCCGAUGUCGGAUUAGCUAGUUGGUGGGGUAAAGGCCUACCAAGGCGACGAUCCGUAGCGGGUCUGAGAGGAUGAUCCGCCACACUGGGACUGAGACACGGCCCAGACUCCUACGGGAGGCAGCAGUGGGGAAUAUUGCACAAUGGGCGAAAGCCUGAUGCAGCGACGCCGCGUGAGGGAGUGACGGCC